GAGAUCAUGACCUGAGCUGAAACCAAGAGUUGGACUCUUAACCGACUGCGUCACCCAGGCGCCCCUGCAUCAGGGGUUCUUAACCAUCAUCCUAUGGGUAGGGUUCUGAAGAGGGGAAAGCACCAGACAUUUUUGUGUGCAAGACACUGGGUGUUUCUAGGAAGAGAGUCUAUGGCUUUCAUGAUUUUCAAAGAAGUCCCUAAUCCAAAAAAAGGUUAAAAAACUGCUCUGUAUUCUAGGACAGUCUGUUGUAGGACUUCUUUUCUAUCCCUUCUUACCGACCCCC